UACGGAAGGUGCAAGCGUUGUUCGGAAUGACUGGGCGUAAAGCGCACGUAGGCGGCUUUGUAAGUCGGAUGUGAAAGCCCCAGGCUCAACCUGGGAACUGCAUCCGAAACUACUAAGCUUGAAUGCUUGAGAGGUUGGUGGAAUUCCAGGUGUAGGAGUGAAAUCCGUAGAUAUCUGGAGGAACAUCGGAGGCGAAGGCGGCCAACUGGCGAUGCAUUGACGCUAAGGUGCGAAAGCGUGGGGAGCAAACAGG
rnacentral:rRNA from 1 species